UACGGGGGGGGCAAGCGUUGUUCGGAAUUACUGGGCGUAAAGGGCCAGUAGGCGGCCAACUAAGUCCGACGUGAAAUCCCAAGGCUUAACCUUGGAACUGCGUCGGAUACUGGAUGGCUUGAAUUCGGGAGAGGGAUGCAGAAUUCCAGGUGUAGCGGUGAAAUGCGUAGAUAUCUGGAGGAAUACCGGUGGCGAAGGCGGCCUCCUGGUUCAAUACUGACGCUGAGGUGCGAAAGCGUGGGGAGCAAACAGG
rnacentral:rRNA from 1 species